rnacentral:lncRNA from 1 species
AAGAAACUAAAAUGAUGAUGACUAAUGUAAAAGAAAACAAAGAAAUAUGAGAUGAGAAGUAAAAUAUUUAUAUAUAGUUUACUGAAUAGAAAAUACAUAAAAGUAACUUAGAGUAACUAUUUUGAAAUGUAAUAUGUCCUAGAAGUUAACGUUCAGGCGAUUCAAAUUCAUUUAACGUUAAAGAGUAGAAAGAAAUACCCUUGUUUAUAUGAGAAUCGUAAAAUAAUGCCUUAAACUUUAACCUUCAAAAGAUAAAAGUACAUAAAAAAAUAAAAUCUAAAGAGGACGUUGGUUGUUUAAAGACUUAAUAACAGAAG